rnacentral:rRNA from 1 species
AUUGAACGCUGGCGGCAGGCUUAACACAUGCAAGUCGAGCGGGGGGAGGUAGCUUGCUACCUAACCUAGCGGCGGACGGGUGAGUAAUGCUUAGGAAUCUGCCUAUUAGUGGGGGACAACAUUUCGAAAGGGAUGCUAAUACCGCAUACGCCCUAAGGGGGAAAGCAGGGGAUCUUCGGACCUUGCGCUAAUAGAUGCGCUUAAGUCGGAUUAGCUAGUUGGUGGGGUAAAGGCCUACCAAGGCGACGAUCUGUAGCGGGUCUGAGAGGAUGGUCCGCCACACUGGGACUGAGACACGGCCCAGACUCCUACGGGGGGCAGAAGUGGGGAAUAGUGGACAAUGGGGGGAACCCUGAUCCAGCCAUGCCGCGUGUGUGAAGAAGGCCUUUUGGUUGUAAAGCACUUUAAGCGAGGAGGAGGCUACCGAGAUUAAUACUCUUGGAUAGUGGACGUUACUCGCAGAAUAAGCACCGGCUAACUCUGUGCCAGCAGCCGCAGUAAUAC